rnacentral:rRNA from 1 species
AGAGUUUGAUCCUGGCUCAGGACGAACGCUGGCGGCGUGCCUAACACAUGCAAGUCGAACGGAACUGUUUUGAAAGAUUUCUUCGGAAUGAAUUUGAUUUAGUUUAGUGGCGGACGGGUGAGUAACGCGUGAGUAACCUGCCUUCAAGAGGGGGAUAACAUUCUGAAAAGAAUGCUAAUACCGCAUGACAUAUUGGAAUCACGUGAUUUUGAUAUCAAAGAUUUUAUCGCUUGAAGAUGGACUCGCGUCCG